rnacentral:lncRNA from 1 species
CAGAAUACUAACAGAAAACAAAAGAGGGCAGCCUUUGAUAACCCGCACGCACGGUUGGGCGGACAGAGUCCUUGGGUUUUCCUCUGAGCUAAAGGAUAAGGGGGAUGCUCCCAGGGUGUUUCUCAGCCCGGGCACAGUGUAAACCUUGGUUUCCUGAGCCAGUCUUGUGAUCAGCAUCCUAAUAGCACCUCUAUCUGGGAAGAGGCCCAAGGGAUCCAUCUGCCUCCGCCUCCUCGACUGCUAGGACUACAAGUGCAUACCACCACAACUGACUUUUUCAUGUGGGUUGAUCAAAUUUAGGUCCUCAUGCUUGCAAGGUAAGCACUUUACCUCCAGAGCCAUCUUUAGAGCCAUUAUACAUCUUUUAUAUAUGAAGAAACAAAGUCACAGAGUAGUUAAGGAACUUGCU